rnacentral:rRNA from 1 species
UACGUAGGGGGCUAGCGUUGUCCGGAAUCAUUGGGCGUAAAGAGCGCGUAGGCGGCCAGAUAAGUCCGGUGUGAAAGUCACAGGCUCAACCUGUGAAUGCCGCUGGAAACUGUCUGGCUUGAGUCCGGAAGGGGCGAGUGGAAUUCCUGGUGUAGCGGUGAAAUGCGUAGAUAUCGAGAGGAACACCUGCGGCGAAGGCGGGUUGCUGGGCUGACACUGACGCUGAUGCGCGAAAGCUAGGGGAGCGAACGGG